AUGAAUUUUUCAGGUAAAUGGAUAGAACUAGAAAAGAUCAUGUUGAGUGAGGUAACCCAGACCCCAAAUGAUGAACAUCACAUGUUUCUCACAUCGGAGGCGCCUAGCUCCAAAUCUUCAGAGCAACUGCAGAAACCAGGAAAACAAGAUGGGACCAUUUUCAUGGGCAGUCAGAUUCCCAGAGUGAAGAUGUGAUGGCUGAAGAUGGAUGAAGUCCAGUAAGAAUCAUGACAUUCAUGUUUGGUGGUACCUUACAGUUAUUUGGUAAAUACACUAAUGUACUGGAAAUUCAAUGUAUGUUGGCUCUUCAGAACAAAAAUAAAAUCUGUGUUUUGAAAUUUU